CAUCCUUCAAAGAUUUUGAACUUAAAUGCCAGGAAGACCAAAAUUACCACAAGUCCUCCGUAUUUGACAAGACAAACAAUAAUAUUUGAAGUAUAUGAACAGUUGAGAACGUGACCUUAUUUGCAAUUGUAAAAACUCACGCAGUUGAAUACUAGUGCAUUGAUGCAAUAAAAACAAACUGAUGAGCUAAAAACAGAGUCUUGUUAGCGGAAGUCACAACAAAGGCAUAGUGAAAUAGUUCAUAUAAUACUAGACUGUCUCACCCCCAGAACCUACAAUCCAACAUUAUGUGAUUAAAUUUUUGAUACAAGAAGUCUUAUCUUUCCACUUGACAAAUUAUUGACUCAACAUUGCUCACACUUAACAUCAACAUUUUGAUUGAUCAGCGUGUUAAUUCAGUUGACUAACUUAGCAUACUUUCUCACGCUAAUUUAUACUCUACCUUCUUGAGUUUUUCUUGCCACCAAAACGGAAAUUCUACUUAAGCCUGAGGAAGUACUAUAAAAUGCUUACUUUUAAUUAGGAAAACUAGAAGUGAACAAAUGAUAUGAUAUGCAAUUAUUGACGAUUAAACCUACAAAUUGUCAUCAGAAAAUUUAAAAAGCACCAGUGCAAAAUAGAGCAUACUUUGAUACCUCUCACACUUGUUGACCGUUGAGUGCCAUAUAUCAAGGUACCUUUUACUCCUAUUUUUACACUUUCUUUUCCCGUCGACCUUUACAAAAGCGGCUAAACCAAUAUAUGUGAAACUACAUUUCCCAAAAGCCUAUAAUAAAAUGUACCCUCAUACAUA
rnacentral:lncRNA from 1 species